UACGGAGGGGGCUAGCGUUGUUCGGAAUUACUGGGCGUAAAGCGCACGUAGGCGGCUUUGUAAGUUAGAGGUGAAAACCCGGGGCUCAACUCCGGAAUUGCCUUUAAGACUGCAUCGCUAGAGUUGUGGAGAGGUAAGUGGAAUUCCGAGUGUAGAGGUGAAAUUCGUAGAUAUUCGGAAGAACACCAGUGGCGAAGGCGACUUACUGGACACAUACUGACGCUGAGGUGCGAAAGCGUGGGGGAGCA
rnacentral:rRNA from 1 species